UACGUAGGGUGCGAGCGUUGUCUGGAUUUAUUGGGCGUAAAGGGCUCGUAGGCGGCCUGCUGCGUCUGCCGUGAAAUUCUGGGGCUUAACUUCGGACGUGCGGUGGAUACGGGCAGGCUAGAGUCCGGUUGGGGAGACUGGAAUUCCUGGUGUGAGCGGUGGAAUGCGCAGAUAUCAGGAGGAACACCGGUGGCGAAGGCGGGUCUCUGGGCCGGUACUGACGCUGAGGAGCGGAAAGCCGUGGGGAGCGAACAGG
rnacentral:rRNA from 1 species